GAAAGAGGAAGAAUUUGGCUGACCAUUGGCCUCGCCUCCAUUCCUCCCUGGGGACUCCGACCACAUCCUGGCUCAGCUGGGAGCGCGCUGAGACACGGGGUGGGAAGUCAGUACUGAACAUUUAUUUGGAAGGACUGAUGCUGAAAAUGAAUCUGCAAUACUUUGGCCACCUGAUAGGAAGAACUGACUCAUUUGAAAAGACCCUGAUGCUGGGAAAGAUUGAAGGUGGGAGGAGAAGGGGACAACAGAGGAUGAGAUGGUCGGAUGGCAUCACCGAUUCGAUGGACAUGAGUUUGAACAUAACAGGACCAGAGCCGUUGUUCCUCUCCCCUCUGCUCCCAGGCAGGUCCUUUCUGCAGCCACCUGGUUGCUGGGGCUGGCGGUGCUGUUCUGGAGUCCGACACAGGUGACAGGAAGCUCAUCCACCCCGUGAUGACCUUAUCAGUGCUGGUUAUAAGCUGCUGCCUGCUGCCCUCUCUCCUGAGGUCCAGACCCUAUAGACAGUUUCAUUUGUAAAAAAAACCAGGGUGACAGAACUUCCCUAUGGCCCAGUGGUGAAGAAUCCACCCUGCAAUGCAGGAGACUCAGGCUCGAUUCCUGGGUGAGGAACUUAAGAUCCCACAUGCCGAGGAG
ensembl:lncRNA